AGUCCAGUGGGAUCUUUGAUAAAGAAUGAGCAGACCCACCACAUCAAGAGCUCAGAGAAGCGUGUGCUGGCAAGAAAGAAUUUGGAGCGUAAGAUUCGAGGGCAAGACCUUGCACGGAAGCUUAAAGCCAUCCUCGUAAAAAAAGUCAGGGGCCUGUAAGAGUUAACGAGAAGGAAUAGUUCUCUUCCCAAAUGGAUAGAGAAGGGGCUUUUUUUGUUGAUGGUGGUUAUGCAGUAUGCUAACAUUUUUGUACUGAGGGUAUCAUGUUACCAAUAGAGCCAAAUAUAAUCUGUGGUUCUUAAAAUGUUCAAUUUUUAUGUCGAUAAAAUACUUUCAGUGCAUGUCGGUAUGUAGUACUCCACAUGGAUAUAAAUUCCACGAACAAAAUUUUAAUUUAUUUAUUUUCUUUCUUAAUAUUACCUGCACUAUUAAUCCUU